rnacentral:rRNA from 1 species
AGAGUUUGAUCCUGGCUCAGGACGAACGCUGGCGGCGUGCUUAACACAUGCAAGUCGAACGGAAAGGCCCUUCGGGGUACUCGAGUGGCGAACGGGUGAGUAACACGUGGGUGAUCUGCCCUGCACUUUGGGAUAAGCCUGGGAAACUGGGUCUAAUACCGAAUAGGACCACGCGCUUCAUGGUGUGUGGUGGAAAGCUUUUGCGGUGUGGGAUGGGCCCGCGGCCUAUCAGCUUGUUGGUGGGGUAAUGGCCUACCAAGGCGACGACGGGUAGCCGGCCUGAGAGGGUGACCGGCCACACUGGGACUGAGAUACGGCCCAGACUCCUACGGGAGGCAGCAGUGGGGAAUAUUGCACAAUGGGCGCAAGCCUGAUGCAGCGACGCCGCGUGAGGGAUGACGGCCUUCGGGUUGUAAACCUCUUUCAAUAGGGACGAAGCGCAAGUGACGGUACCUAUAGAAGAAGCACCGGCCAACUACGUGCCAGCAGCCGCGGUAAUACGUAGGGUGCGAGCGUUGUCCGGAAUUACUGGGCGUAAAGAGCUCGUAGGUGGUUUGUCGCGUUGUUCGUGAAAACUCACAGCUUAACUGUGGGCGUGCGGGCGAUACGGGCAGACUAGAGUACUGCAGGGGAGACUGGAAUUCCUGGUGUAGCGGUGGAAUGCGCAGAUAUCAGGAGGAACACCGGUGGCGAAGGCGGGUCUCUGGGCAGUAACUGACGCUGAGGAGCGAAAGCGUGGGGAGCGAACAGGAUUAGAUACCCCGGUAGUCCAA